CACAAAGUGAGAUCAGGAAUAAAGUUCUUCAGAUUUUGUAGCAUUCAGAUUGUGGAUUUGGGAUGUUAAACUUAUAUAAGCGCAUUUCAAGUAUGUGCCACAAAUACCAAAGUUGAUAGUCAUUUCUGUAGUAGGUGGAAUAAAGGUGUUUUUAAAACUUGUAUAUACCCCACCACCUUUCUUGGUCUGUUGAGUGUAUUUAUAAUUCCAGUGUUUCUGAGGCAGAAACAGGAGGAUUAGCCCAAGUUUGAGACCAGUCUGGUCUAAUGUGUGAGGCUAUAUCUCAAAAUCAAAAUAAAACUAUUUAAAAUGAUCAAUAUUUGCCUGGACAUAGACACUGUUACUCAUGUAGUCUGCAUUAAUGUCAUUGACAUAUUUAGGACCUGGUUAAGUGGGAGGAACCCAAGGGGAAGACUGACAGCUACAGAAGAGAAUGAGCAAAGUAGAUGCCUCAAGGUUUCCCUCUGUUCCUAAUCACCAUCACUGAUGUUUAGAGUUACUUUUCUUUAGUCCCUGAGAUUUUAGUUGCCUUCCCACCCCAGGAUUUUGUCAUCUUUUAGCAUUUUGUUUUCUGCAUCUUUAUCUUUCUCUGAAUAUUCUGCAUUCAUACCUUCACUCUCAUAUUUUGAAUUGCCCCCCCCCCCCAUGUUCUUAAGAUAAUUCCCCAAAUUCCAGCACUAAAGAGGUCAAGGCAUGCAAUUCAGAAGUUUGAGGCCAGCCUGAGCUGUAUAAUGAGACCCUAUCAUUUUGUGUUUUUUUUUUCUUUUGUUUGUUUAUUUGUUUUGAAUCAUGGUUUCUCUGCAUAGCCCUGGCUAUCCUGGAACUCACUCUGUAGCAGGCCUCGAACUCAGAGAUCCACCUGCUUUUUUGCCUCCUGUGUGUUGCGAUUAAAGGCAAUGUGCCACCACUACCUGGAUGAGACCCUAUCUUUAAAAGAAAACAAAACAGUAAAAUUUGACCAUGCAACAUAAAAAAAGGUGCCCUACUAUCAGGUUCCCUAUUCUGGGUCUGGAUGUGGAUCAUUCAUUAAUGGCCUUUUAUCUGUGUUCCUAGGGAAUGUGCCUAGGGAUUCCCUUUAGUCUACUCUUCUGUUCUUCCUUAAUUAAUGUACUUACCAUGCUUCUAUGAUUCCAAAGUAGAGACUUGCCAUGGCUCCUUAUCUCCCCAUACAACUUUACUCACCCUCCCAGCCCAUACUUAGUUGGUUGUCAAGUCUCAAACUUUGCUCCUCUGAAGCAUCUUAUAAAGACGUCUUCUUGCCCUUGCUUACGGACCCUUUUCAAACGUAGUAACUGCUUUCCAGCUGACGCCCAAAUUGGACUCUGUCCAUUAAUCCGUCUUCUACUUGUCAUCAGCUUUCUUAAAACAGAUCUAAUUAGUCCAAUUUUUCCCUUAGGACAAUUUGUAGCACUCAAGUCCUACAAGAGGGAUUCAAAUUUCACAGCAAGAUGUACGACCCUUCAGAAUUUGCCUUCCAUCAUUUGCUCCCUACACUUCAUCUGUCCUAAACUGUUUGCCAUUCCUAGAACACUCCUUGAGUUCUUUCUUGUAUCUUUGCUUUGCAUCUCUGUUUUUGUUCUCACUCUCCCUUCUACUUCGUCUUCCUUUCCUUCUGCUGGAGAAGGGAUCCAGAUUAUGUCUGUUAGGCAAGUAUGCUAGAAAGUACCUUGUCAAAAUUGUGUUUGGCUUUUGAAAACCUUCUCACAUGGGACCUUUUUUUGAAGUCAAGGUUUCACCUGGAAUGUAGCUCAUCCUGGCCUUGAACUCAACAUCUUCCUGCCUCUCUUAAGUGAUAUAAUUAUAGAUAUGUGAUGCCACACCAUUGUAAUAUGGCCUUUUUGGACCAUUUGGUCCAAGUAGAUCUUGUUAGCACUACCUAUUUGUGUGGUUAGAAGAAAUCACUGGAAUUGCAAGCACUGUUCUGUGUUAAUUUUUCAUCUCCAGUAACCAUCUGAUCAGUCCUCGAAAUAUUGAAGGCCUAAUUCAUAUUUUGAUGAAGAAUCCAUAAUUUAUGAUCUGAGUUAGAUUUUACUGCGUAAGUAGAUCAUCAAACUACUGAGUUUAGUUAGUAAUUUUUGAAUCACUUAAUUAGAUCCCGAUUUUAAGAGUGGGUAAUUUAGUUAGGCUGCAGAGGCUGCGAGUUUUAGAGCUGGGCCUAUUUUUUGAUGUUCAUUUGUGACUUGAGUGAUUUGGAAGAUGGCUCUUCUUCUUGCCUCAACUACUUGUUCCAGCCACAUGUUUUCUAGUCUAUAACCAAGCUUGUCCAUACUCAAGGUUUAAAGAUCAUACAAAGGCAUAAAAGACUUCCUUGGGCAUGAAAUCUAGACUUGAAAGACAUUAUUGCUGUCUGAAUGAAGUCUGUUAGCCAAAGAUAGUGCUGAUAAAAGUGAGAAAAUAGAUUGACUCUCCUGAUGAAGUGGACUGCAAUCCUGUUGCAAGAAACCUGCAAUCAAUCUCAGGUAUAAGACUAAGAGAUUAGACCAGGCUGGGGCCAGGUGUUUUACUUCACUAUUUGACUAGUAUUGUGAACAAUUUUGACCUGACCCGUGGGUUUAAAUUGAGCUCAAGAUGUCCCUACUUUCAAAUUCUCAUCUUUUGAUGUGAAACAUAUACAAAAAUGUACCUUUUUGGCCUUGAUGUCCCAGGAUGAAGUGGAAUACCAAUAAUGCUAUGGUAUGGGGAAGGAGUUCCUUAGUAUGGCAUAACUUUGCACCAGCUCUCUUCUUGCCUCUACAUUCUGGAAGCUAGUGGGCAGUCCUGAGAACUUUUCUGUGGUUGAGUGCCCUCUAAUACGGGCCAUUGAUUUGCUUUCUUGAAUUUGAUUUAAAAGUUAUCUCCUUGGAGAAUGUCAGGGAAAGGUUUACUGGUAUAAAAAUAUCUCCUGAUGUUAGUAGUUUACUUAUCUUAAACUUUUGUGUAUUUUCUAGUCUGUAGAAACUGCUGAAACUUGACAGCAUGAGUUUAUAUGUUCCUGACUUGUCUGAGCCCCAUUCAAGAAUACUUUUGAGGACUAGGAAGUCUGCAUAGAUCUACAAGCAUAAUAUGCUAAAGUAUACAUGAAGUGCAUAAUAGUUGUGCAGAGAGUAAACUACCCCUGGAUAGUUUCUUCUAGGACUUGGCUUCUGUACUUAUCUGUAUACUUUAGUAGAAUUAUUGGAAGUAGUUAAAGAAAGCAGAUACUGGACUGGGAUAUAGCUCAAUGGUACAGGACUACCUUGCAUGUGAGAGUGCUGUUGAUUCGACCUAUAUUACAGAUAAAAGACUGGGCAUGGUGGUACAAGACAAUAAUCCAAACAAUAGGGUGGUAGACAUGGAAGGAUCAUAGUUUUGUGGUCAGCCUAGGCUACAUAGAGAAAUCCUGUCUCAGAAAAAUGAAAACAAAAACCACAUAUAACAUUUACCUCAUCCACACCCAUUUCUACCAAUUGUAGAAAUGUAGAUGGAUAAUGGAUGCCAUCAAAAGGCAUAAAGGAAUGAGAGGCACAUAGAGGGAGGGCUACUAGGCUUUUUGGCAGUAGGUAGUGACUCCACUACUCACCACUGGCAUACCAGGAGCCAAAAUAAUCCACAGCCUAUAAUUCUACCCAAAUCACACACUGUGUUGCUUGUGAAUGCAUGCGGAAUUUUAAUCAUGGCAUAAGAGUAUGGUGGUGUAAUCCCGGAACUCUGGAGGUAGAGGCAGGAAAGUCCUAAGUCCAGUUUAAGUUAUAGUGAGACUUUGUCACAAAUACCAACAAAAGAGUUGUAACUUACAUUAACAAAAUAAUGUUUGCUUUCAAGACAGGAUCUCUGUUCUCAGCUGCCCCCAGACUUUGCUAUGAAGCUUUAAUGACUUUGAACUGAUCCUUCCUGUGUCAAUCUCCUGAGUACUGGUACUAUAGACAGGCAUCAUUAUGGUUAGUUCAUAGGUUCUGGAUAUCUAACCCAGGGCUUUGUGCAUGCCAAUUAGGCAAGCAGUAUGUUAAAUGAACUGCAUCUCCAAUCUUUAUAAUUUUUUCAUGUAUUAUGCUUUUAAUUUCAUUUUUUCCAAAUAACAAAAAUUUAUGGAAUCGUUAAGUCUCCACACGUCCAUUUAGAGGAUCACAAUAAAAUUCAGUUGAAAGAUCAGUGUUUUAGUUGAUAAGUGUAACAAGUGAAAUCAAAGUAGUUUAAUCGACUGGAAACAGGGUAUUAAUCAAAAUAGUAUUUGUGGGUAUUAUGCUGUACUUUUCUGAAAGAGCACUUUAACAUGUUACAUAAUCAGAACUCUUUUUAAGUUAUAUUUAUUGAUAUGUGUAUAUGAUGUAUAUGUACCUACUGACACUUACUUGUGUGGUAUGUAGGUACACAUAUACAAUAUGUAUUCUGCACAGAUGAUUGUGUCUGUAUAGUUUUCAUCUUUACAUCAAUUUCUUUACUAAUUGGCGCCUUAUUUUUCCUAGAGGUGAGGGUAUGUAAGGAAAUGUUUGUUCACCACAGAAAGGGCAUAAAUAGAAUGUUUUUUGUGCAUCUGAAAAAUAAAAAGGACAGUUACUUCAUAGGUAACCAAUCAAACACACACACACACACACAUGCACACACACACAUCUGUUAGUGUUUUCCCACAUUCAGUUAACCUUCUACCAUAUAUAUAUAAUCUUAUAUACCCCAAGAUCAGACACAAGCUGGGGUAGGCAGGAGGGAGUGUUGAAAGGAUUCUUAGUAGAGUGUCAGGUUACUUAUUUGUCAUAACCAUAGAUGUGUUCUACUUGUUUCAUUGUCAUGAGUUCGAGGCCAGGGCAUUUUGUAGGUCACCACAACAGUCUCUUCCUGCAUGAUGGCAGUGAUCAUGUUAUACCUCUAAGAUAGCUAUACCACAGCAGUAUCUCAAAGUUCUAGUAAAUAGCUAUGAGAAAAUGGAGUGCUAUUUGUUGGUCCAUUCAUAGAGGAUCAGGAUUAAAUUUUAUCAGAGAUUAACAAUUUAGUUUUAUCAUUAGUAGUAUCUUAUCUACCACAGUCUUCCUUAAAGGUAAAUAUAAGAGAAUAGUAAUGAGAUUACUAGAUGAAGGUGGUAGAUUCAGAAGGCACCUUUGUUAAUACUGAGGAAGAUUAAUGGGCAUACUGUUGGCUCUUACAUAGAGAUAUAAAAAUACACACUUAAGAUGGAGUACAUGCUAAUAACUCUCCUAUAAUUUGAACACUACAUUAGAUAAUAUUAAGGAUGGUUUGCAUGUUUGGAACUCCUAUUCCUGAUUAACAAUGCUUGCAGUAUGUUUCAUCCCCUCCAUUAGUGCUGUGUAAUUGACCAUGUGAUGGUUUUUUGGGAAUAAGUUUAGUUCUGAGGCUAUAUCUGUGGCUAUUGAGUUGGGUUGUCUGCUGAGCAUCACAUUUACUGCUCUGGACUUUGAUAUUACCAUUUCUCACACAUGGUUAUAAUCUGAUCUUGAAAGUCUCUCCUGUUUCUAAAAAUGUUGGUUUUAAUGCUGUGUUUUUUAAUAUGUCAGUAUAAAACUACUACCGGGAUUCCAAACAUAGGGAUGAUAACUUCAGUUGGUAAACUGCUGUGCUGACAUAAGGACCUGAGUUGAUUAUUAGGACUCAUGAAAAAACAAAAAAACAAAAAACAAAAACAACCCAAAAACCUUGUCUCACAUCCCAGUGCCAGCAUCAUAAAUAUCAGUUAUAUUUUAUUUCUGAUGCAUAUUACACUAACACUAACAAUUGUUCCUAGAGGAACCAAACUAGUUUCAAAUUAUGUCAUCCUAUAGAAUGUCCUCCUUUUCUUCUGUUGGGUGAAUAUAGUGAGGCUUGCACUUUUGUAUUUUGAAUGACGUUUAUACACUGUGGGAGAGUCAUUGCUACCUUUUUGUAGCCUCCUGCCCACAUACUAUUUGAUUCUUUCAAUUAAUCAUAGACUUGGAGGGAACACUCCGAGUAACAUCUCUAGCCUAAUAGCUCAGACUUUUUCUAGCAGUUUUCCCACUAGGCACAAACCCUCAUAUUAAGGUUGGAUGAGGCAACUAAGCGAGAGAAAAAGGGUCCCUGGCACAGACAAAAGAGUCAAAGAUACUUCCUACUCUCACAAGAACACCAAGCUACACAGCCGUAAGGUACAUGCAGAGGACCUAGCUCAGUCCCAUACAGGCAGUGUAUUUGCUACCUCAGUCUCUGAGGCCCUAUGAGUCUUGCUUAGGUGAUUCUGUUGACUGUGUUCUCGUGGUGUCUUCAUCCCCUCUGUCUCCUACAAUCUUCCUCCUUCUCUUCUGCAGGGUUCCCAUGGUUCUACCCCGUGUUUAACUGUGGAAGACAGGGUCUCUUACUGGACUAGAAUUUUCUAAGUUGGUCAGCCAGUGAACCGCAGGGAUCUGUCCAUUCCCACAUACUAUCACACCUUUAAAAAAGACAGGUUUCUAGGGAUUAAAUGCAAUGUCCCCAUGCUUGCAAAGCAGCAUUUUGCAAACUGUCUCCAUAGUACCUCACCUUAGCCCUUGUUGUAUAUCAUAAAUCCUCAUUCAUUCCACUUACUGCAAAUCUUCCCUUUUCUUGGCAGACAACAGUGUGAGCCUGGAAUUCCCAUAUGCCCAGGAAGGAAGGAAGUGGAAUUAUCUGGUAGCCUCAGAAAGUUUUUCCCCCCCUGGUAUUUGUGUCUUUGAGUGUCUCAGUAAUUUCAUAUCAACCUCACAGGAUUUUUCUGCAUAACUGUCAGAUGGGAUAUGCAGUUUCCUAAUAUAUGCAAUUUGCAUGUUCUUAUCUGUCCCUGA
rnacentral:lncRNA from 1 species